AGGACGAACGCUGGCGGCGUGCUUAACACAUGCAAGUCGAGCGGUAAGGCCCUUCGGGGUACACGAGCGGCGAACGGGUGAGUAACACGUGGGUGACCUGCCCUCAGCUCUGGGAUAAGCCCGGGAAACUGGGUCUAAUACCGGAUAUGACCACAUGCUGCAUGGUGUGUGGUGGAAAGUUUUUCGGCUGGGGAUGGGCCCGCGGCCUAUCAGCUUGUUGGUGGGGUGAUGGCCUACCAAGGCGACGACGGGUA
rnacentral:rRNA from 1 species